rnacentral:tRNA from 1 species
AUUCUUUUAAUAUAAAAAAUAUUUUUAACUUCCAAUUAAAAAAUCUCAAUCUGAGAAAGAAUA